rnacentral:rRNA from 1 species
UACGAAGGGGGCUAGCGUUGCUCGGAAUCACUGGGCGUAAAGCGCACGUAGGCGGAUUCUUAAGUCAGGGGUGAAAUCCCGGAGCUCAACUCCGGAACUGCCUUUGAUACUGAGGAUCUCGAGUUCGGGAGAGGUGGAGUGGAACUGCGAGUGUAGAGGUGAAAUUCGUAGAUAUUCGCAAGAACACCAGUGGCGAAGGCGGCUCACUGGCCCGAUACUGACGCUGAGGUGCGAAAGCG